rnacentral:rRNA from 1 species
GUAGGUGGCAAGCGUUGUCCGGAAUUAUUGGGCGUAAAGCGCGCGCAGGCGGUUCUUUAAGUCUGAUGUGAAAGCCCACGGGCUCAACCGUGGAGGGUCAUUGGAAACUGGAGAACUUGAGUACAGAAGAGGAAAGCGGAAUUCCACGUGUAGCGGUGAAAUGCGUAGAGAUGUGGAGGAACACCAGUGGCGAAGGCGGCUUUCUGGUCUGUAACUGACGCUGAGGCGCGAAAGCGUGGGGAGCAAACAGGAUUAGAUACCCUGGUAGUCCACGCCGUAAACGAUGAGUGCUAAGUGGUUAGGGGGUUUCCGCCCCUUAGUGCUGCAGCUAACGCAUUAAGCACUCCGCCGUGGGGAGUACGGCCGCAAGGCUG